rnacentral:rRNA from 1 species
AUGAUACUCGCUGUGCUCUUCGCCAACUCCGAAGGCAACAUCCUCAUCGAGAGGUACGUUACCCUCCUACUCCCAACCACUCACACCACAUCGACAGGCCCGGAGCGUCAGCUCCUGCAAGCCCCGCAACAGCGUCGCCUCCCUCCGCGACGACAGCCUCGACACCUACUGGCAGUCGGACGGCGCGCAGCCGCACCUGGUCAACAUCCAGUUCCAGAAGAAGGUGCAGCUGCAGCUGGUUGUGCUAUACGUGGAUUUCAAGCUGGACGAGAGCUACACUCCCAGCAAGAUCUCCAUCCGGGCCGGCGACGGCUUCCACAAUCUCAAGGAAAUUAA